rnacentral:rRNA from 1 species
AACUUCCUAAACUAUGUUGUAGUCAAUAUUCUCAAAGGUGAUGUGGACAAGGAGAUGUUGUUAAGUCUUUUGAGUGCUACUUUCUGUAAAACUAGACAAUGGCCUUGGCAGAUCAAGGAUUAUCCAAGUAAGACAUUCCUGGUGAGAUUUCCUCCAUGGAAGAAUGUUGAGGAUCUCAUCAAGCUGCCUGGGUUCUCCCUACCUCAAGAUGUUUCUGUUACACUUACUGAGUGGAAGGGGGCAUGUGAACCUUUUGGAGAGCUAGUUGAGGCUUGGGUACUGAUUGAGGGAAUUCCUCCUAAAUGGUGCACAUGGAAAGUUUUUGCUCAGAUUGCUUCCUUGUUUGGGGAACUGACUGAUGUGGACUGGAAUGGCAUGUUCGGGACUUUGUUUGAGAAUGUUAGAAUAAAAAUUACUACUAAGGACCCAACAAAGAUUCCAUUUGAGAGGCUCAUUGAGAUGAAGAAGAAGUUGUGUUUGUUGGGCUUUACUGUGGAGGGCUUUGAGCAAGUGGGUGGGGUUGACUCUGUUAUUGAUAUUGAGGAUGAUGAAGAUUUAGAAGGAGAGGGUGCUGCUGAGGGAUAG